GAUUAGAGUUUGAUCCUGGCUCAGAUUGAACGCUGGCGGCAUGCUUUACACAUGCAAGUCGAACGGUAACAGGGAGCUUGCUCCGCUGACGAGUGGCGAACGGGUGAGUAAUGCAUCGGAACGUACCCAGUCGUGGGGGAUAACGUAGCGAAAGUUACGCUAAUACCGCAUACGUCCUGAGGGAGAAAGCGGGGGGCCGAAAGGCCUCGCGCGAUUGGAGCGGCCGAUGUCGGAUUAGCUAGUUGGUAGGGUAAAGGCCUACCAAGGCGACGAUCCGUAGCGGGUCUGAGAGGAUGAUCCGCCACACUGGGACUGAGACACGGCCCAGACUCCUACGGGAGGCAGCAGUGGGGAAUUUUGGACAAUGGGCGCAAGCCUGAUCCAGCCAUGCCGCGUGAGUGAAGAAGGCCUUCGGGUUGUAAAGCUCUUUCAGGUGGAAAGAAAACGCAUGGGUCAAUACCCUGUGUGGAUGACGGUACCAUCAGAAGAAGCACCGGCUAACUACGUGCCAGCAGCCGCGGUAAUAAU
rnacentral:rRNA from 1 species